GGGAGUGAUUGCACCAAUUGCAAUUGGUUUCAUUGUUGGUGCCAACAUUCUAGCUGGUGGAGCCUUUACUGGAGCUUCAAUGAACCCAGCUGUGUCAUUUGGCCCAUCUUUGAUUAGCUGGACCUGGACUCACCAAUGGGUUUACUGGGCUGGACCACUUAUUGGUGGUGGGCUUGCUGGAUUUAUCUAUGAAUUCAUCUUCAUUAGCCACACUCAUGAGCAAAUCCCAAGUGGAGAUUUUUAAGUAAUGUGACAUUUUAUCAACUUGUUGUUU
rnacentral:lncRNA from 1 species